rnacentral:rRNA from 1 species
UACGUAGGGGGCAAGCGUUGUCCGGAUUUAUUGGGCGUAAAGAGCGUGUAGGCGGUCUGGUAGGUCCGUUGUGAAAACUCGAGGCUCAACCUCGAGACGCCGAUGGAAACCCCCGAACUAGAGUCCGGAAGAGGAGAAUGGAAUUCCUGGUGUAGCGGUGAAAUGCGCAGAUAUCAGGAAGAACACCCGUGGCUAAGGCGGUUCUCUAGUACGGUACUGACGCUGAGACGCGAAAGCGUGGGGAGCAAACAGG